AAUGUUUCUGCACACUACAUGAGAUCAGAUUGAUUAACAGAGAAAAAUUAUGUUUAUUAAUUGUUUUAGAAUCCUGCCAAUUUUCUACAGUUAUCAACUGCGAUUUCCUGUUUCUUUGUCAUCUUUGAACUAUAAUAAAAUUACACUUUUCAUUCAGCCGAACAUUUUACUUCAACUUUUAAUUUUCUUUCAUGGCUAGUUCAUAAAUAGCAUUUUGAAUAUUUAUAAACUCUUCACACCUUGCAGUUUCAAAAGCCAGGCCAAGAAUCAUAAAUUUCCGACGAAAUUCUCAUUCAUAAACAAAGCGCACAGCUAAUAUGCGCCUUGGAAUCGAUUAUUAAGUCUAUUUUCAUCAGUGUGUAUAAAAUUUAAAAAUAAACCGUAAUAAUCUACCUCGUGCCAAUAACAAUUUGUCAGUACUCGAAUACGUGAUAGUAUUUUCAUGAGUUUAAGUUUAACUGACAGGUUGGAUGUACAUUGGAAGUUAUUCCCAUUGAUGCGCGUAAGGUAUGCAACAAUUCCCUACUGCUUUUUCAUAAAUGCAAACAAUUUUAUCAUUUUCUCCUUGAGCAACAGCUGCAGUUUGAAUACGCACGCAAUAUAAACGACGCUCAAAUGUACGUGCAUUAUUAUAAGAAUACAAUACUUCCCAUUAUGUAAUAAAAUCGAUUAAAAGCUCUCCCAAACAUG